UACGUAGGGUCCGAGCGUUGUCCGGAUUUAUUGGGCGUAAAGAGCUCGUAGGCGGCUCAGUAAGUCAGAUGUGAAAACUCAGGGCUCAACCCGGAGACGCCAUCUGAUACUGCUGUGGCUUGAGUCUGGUAGGGGAUCACGGAAUUCCUGGUGUAGCGGUGGAAUGCGCAGAUAUCAGGAGGAACACCGAUGGCGAAGGCAGCUCGCUGGGACGGUACUGACGCUGAGGCGCGAAAGCGUGGGGAGCGAACAGG
rnacentral:rRNA from 1 species